rnacentral:rRNA from 1 species
GACGUAGGGCGCGAGCGUUGUCCGGAUUUAUUGGGCGUAAAGAGCUCGUAGGCGGCUUGUCGCGUCGACUGUGAAAUCCCGCGGCUCAACUGCGGGUCUGCAGUCGAUACGGGCAGCCUAGAGUUCGGUAGGGGAGACUGGAAUUCCUGGUGUAGCGGUGAAAUGCGCAGAUAUCAGGAGGAACACCGAUGGCGAAGGCAGGUCUCUGGGCCGAUACUGACGCUGAGGAGCGAAAGCGUGGGGAGCGAACAGG